AAUGAACGCUGGCGGCAUGCCUAACACAUGCAAGUCGAACGAGACCAGCGGGCCUAGUGGCGCAUGGGGGCGUAACGCGGGGGAACCUGCCCAGAGGUUUGGAAUAACUCUCCGAAAGGGGUGCUAAAACGGGAGAAUAUCUUCGGACCAAAGAUAUAUCGCGUUUGGAUGGGCCCGCGUUGGAUUAGCUAGUGGGUAGGGUAAAAGCCUACCAAGGCGACGAUCGGUAGCUGGUUUGAGAGGAUGGUCAGCCACACUGGGACUAGGACACGGCCCGGAAUCCUACGGGAUGGGGCAGUGGGUGAUAUAGGACCACGGGGGGAGGCAUGAUCGAGCUCUGCUGCGAGAGUGAUGAAGGCCUUAGGGUUGUAAAGCUCUUUUACCCGGGAUGGUAAUGACGGUACCGGGAGAAUAAGCUCCGGCUAACUCCGUG
rnacentral:rRNA from 1 species